rnacentral:rRNA from 1 species
UACGUAGGGACCGAGCGUUGUCCGGAUUUAUUGGGCGUAAAGAGCGUGUAGGCGGCCUGAAAGGUCAGCUGUGAAAACUCGAGGCUCAACCUCGAGAUGUCGGCGGAAACCGUCUGGCUAGAGUCCGGAAGGGGAGAGUGGAAUUCCUGGUGUAGCGGUGAAAUGCGCAGAUAUCAGGAAGAACACCUAUGGCGAAGGCAGCUCUCUGGGACGGUACUGACGCUGAGACGCGAAAGCGUGGGGAGCGAACAGG